rnacentral:lncRNA from 1 species
CCUGUAAUAGAAUAAUAGCUAGGGGCCUUUCAAUUUUUUUACUACAUUCUUUGAUGUAUCCAUAGUUAGUUUCCUAUGAUGUAGAGUUUGCUAUCAUUCCAGUGACACUAUCAAAAAGAUUAAAAAGCAGGGCAAGAAAAUGAGUUUGAAUAAAGUUCGCUCUCUUUUUUGCUAAGCCAGUACCAGUGCCUUCACCAGCCUCUCCAAUUGCAGCAGUCAUAAGGUAAAGACUUCUAUAAAAAAGGUAAGCCCUGCCAGCGAGUGUAGUAGUAGUUUCUCCAGUUUAGUCUAAUAGAGAUGGGGCGGCUAUAGACUGACGAUAAUACAUUUUUUUCUCUUUCCUUUCAAUCCUUUCAAGCAUUCCCUUUACAGCAAUGUUAAGCUAAACAUAUCCAAUUGAAGUCGUUUUGUUUAUUGUACAGCUGCUGUCGCUCCUGGAGUUGCAUUGGAAAGCUAAGCUCAUGGAGCAGAAAAGAGAAAGUUCCCUGACAUCAUCUAGAGAGAGGGCCAGCUCCCAGACAUCCAAUCGCAGUUGGAGAGAUUUUAGUUUGAGUGAAAAUUAUAGACCCUAUUCCUGCUAAGCUUAUUGCAAUCUCUUUUUCAUCAUUUCUAAGGUUAAGUGUAGCCCUCUUCUUGAAAGCCAACAAGGGCUAGGUAAAGGGGCACCAUCAAGUGAUCAAGGGACUAGUUUUAGCAAACAUCAUAAUGAUUAAAAAUCAAAACUAAAAGGAAAUGGGUUUUGAAGUGUAAAUCUAUUGAUAAUUCUAUUAGCAGAUCAAU